rnacentral:rRNA from 1 species
AGGAUGAACGCUAGCGGCAGGCCUAAUACAUGCAAGUCGAGGGGGAGUUGGGGAGCUUGCUCCCCAUGAGACCGGCGCACGGGUGCGUAACGCGUAUGCAACCUGCCUUGAUCAGGGGGAUAGCCCGGAGAAAUCCGGAUUAACACCGCAUAAAACCACAGCACAGCAUUGUGCAAUGGUCAAAUAUUCAUAGGAUCAAGAUGGGCAUGCGUGCCAUUAGCUAGUUGGUAGGUAACGCCUACAAGGCGACGAUGGCUA